rnacentral:lncRNA from 1 species
GUGUCUAACAAAGUAAUACGAUCCUUGUCCACAACGACCGGCUCCUUUUUGUGCAAGCUCCAUGUACCUAACGAUCUGCAAGGCAUGUAACAGAAUGAUCAACAAACUAGUUGAGCGAAUUCACAGUAAGUAAGUGCGUAACAGUAAGUAACGGGUGGCUCUACUGGGCCGAUAGUAAGUUGUAUAGGUGGGGGCUUCCCAUGUUAUGUGGGGGCUUCCCAUGUUAUGUGACCACUAGACUAUUCGUAUCAACUACUCGUAUCAUCCCUGUUCUUCUUCCGAGAACAGUAGCGCGUAUGGGGUGUACGUAGGUUUUACGCACGUAUCCUUCACAACCGAGGAUAGGAGACGCGGGGGUGUACAUGGGUUUCACGUACGUAUCCUUUGUACCGAGGAUAGAAGUAAGAAAUGCGUACACGUAGGUUUUACGUGCGUGCCUGACAUCCGAGGCAGUAAUUGGCAUAUGACCACGUAGGUGUUAUCCUAACCUACGGAACCGUCCUGACAUCCGAGGAUCAUGGUAGGUGAUAGUCUAGGAAAAGCAUAUGUACGUUCUUAGUCAAUUGUAACCUUUAUCCCAUUCCCACGACCCGGGAAUCCCAUGCCUUAGUAGGAGUGUGAACUCACCUGGGUUUGCUCGGCAGACAGUAAAAUGCUCAAGUAUACAAGUAAGGGAUCAACC